ACGGGUGAGUAACACGUGAGUAACCUGCCCCUGACUCUGGGAUAACUACCGGAAACGGUGGCUAAUACCGGAUAUGAGGCGCCUGGGCAUCUGGGCGCCUGGAAAGUUUUUCGGUCAGGGAUGGGCUCGCGGCCUAUCAGCUUGUUGGUGGGGUGAUGGCCUACCAAGGCGACGACGGGUAGCCGGCCUGAGAGGGCGACCGGCCACACUGGGACUGAGACACGGCCCAGACUCCUACGGGAGGCAGCAGUGGGGAAUAUUGCACAAUGGGCGCAAGCCUGAUGCAGCGACGCCGCGUGCGGGAUGACGGCCUUCGGGUUGUAAACCGCUUUCAGCAGGGAAGAAGCGAAAGUGACGGUACCUGCAGAAGAAGCGCCGGCUAACUACGUGCCAGCAGCCGCGGUAAUACGUAGGGCGCAAGCGUUGUCCGGAAUUAUUGGGCGUAAAGAGCUCGUAGGCGGUUUGUCGCGUCUGCUGUGAAAUCCUCAGGCUCAACCUGGGGCUUGCAGUGGGUACGGGCAGACUAGAGUGCGGUAGGGGUGACUGGAAUUCCUGGU
rnacentral:rRNA from 1 species